CGACGUAGCUCAAUGGCAGAGCAACCGCCUUGUAAGCGGUAGGUUGCGAGUUCGACUCUCGCCGUCGG
rnacentral:tRNA from 1 species